CCCACCUGCCGGCUCGCCCAGGUGCGCGGGGCGCGGCCACGCCGGACCUGCCCACAGCCCCCGCGCGUGGGGCCCCGCCGGAGCCCGGCCGGCAGGUGACACAAACACCAGGCAAUGACAAAACAGUAAUGACAAAGUGCUGAGAGCGCCACCACCGAUGGAUGCAGACAAGUACAAGAGGUACACAGAAGGGACCCUGAAUCCCAGCUUGGGGAUGGCCAGGGAAGGUUUACAGAGCGGGGACAGAGCUGGUUAGCCUUGAGGAGUGAGGAAGAAGGCAGGGGCUUCUGCACAGAGGGAAUGCCCCGCACAAAGCCCAGAAGAGAGAAGGCUAAAACACACGGUGGCAUUCUGCACGUAGAGCCUGCCAGAGGGUGCGAGCUGUGAAGAGAAGCAUUGGAGGAGGACAUGGGUAGCUGCUUCUCUCCUGAGGACUGGGGGUGCAUCUCCAUCCCUGGUGAGCAAGGAGGCAAGAGAGAGGGGCUGGGGCCUGGGUGUGGCCCUGCACCUAGUUAGGGCUAGAAACAGCCGGCAAGGCCUUAGGGAAACUAUGCAGAAUAAAUACAUUUUUCUUGAUUUUCUUUCAAAAACCUAGAAAGGCGUGUCUAACAUCAAUGCUGUAAAACUCCAUGGAACUAGACGUCCCUCAGUGUCGAUUCCAGGAUGGUCUGUCGAUUCCAGUCUUGGUUAUGUGACUCUGGACAAGAACUUGAGCCAUGACUUGUAGAGCAUACGUAGGGGUUCAAUAAAAUAACUACUUUUUAGUAGGGAAGGAGGGAAAAGGAGGAAGGGGUAGGGGGAAGAGGAAAUCAGAUCUGUCCUUCAGUUUGGAGGCUUCAGUCCACAGCCUCCGGGCCAUUUCUGCCUACGUCAGCAGUUCUCCAAGGGUGAACUUGGGAAGUCAUGGGGUCAUUUAUGGUUGUCGCCAUGACCAGGGUUUUCUGAUAUUUUGCACGCAAGGGGCAUCGUGCAGAGUGAGAUUCUCAACAAGAAUUGUUUCAUUUAACAAAAACGUCCUGCUGGACAUACACGUAGGUGGAAAAACCUAUUUAUCGUUAUCCGAGCCUAGACUAUAACUUGAUUUUAUGUAUAAAACACAGGUUGGUAUUUUUGUUGUUGUUGUGUAUAUACUUAAAAUUUCCAGGAUCACAACUGAGUAAAUAAAAAAAAGAUGAUACUG